UUUUUCUGACAUAUUGUUUAUUUUGUGCAAGAAUCCACUUACUGCAUUGUACUAAGUUAAAUCUUCCUAGUUUUUGUUUGUUUUUUGUUUAUUGGUAUAAUAGCAGAUCCCUUAUUGCACUACUAAUUAAGUGGAUAUUUCUGGCAAGAGAUAGAGGGUCACUGUUCCAUUACUUUUAGAAGAAGACAGAUCUGGACGUCCCAUCUGACCUCUAUUGACACUACAUUGGGAGCUGCUGAGGUACAAGUAUUAGAUGCCAGAAGAUUCUCCACUGGUGGCAGAAAGGAAGGAGAAUGUGACAUACUUGAAGAGGAGUUAAUAGUCUCUGACAGACCCUCUUUGCACACAGUUAUGUCCUUGGAAAAUUUGCUACAUUCUCAUGAAACAGUGUUCAGUGUUUGGUCUAUUUUGUAACUUAGCUUUUGCAGGCAUAAUUUCCAUCGACAUAAGACUCCCUAAUAUACUUGGCUUGGAUAGAAUCAUUAGUAAUCAAUGUUUUGGGUCUUGGUAAGCCUGUUGUUUCCCCCGUUCUUUGUCUGGAGAGAGACUUUUGAUGAGAUUCUUGGUCAAAGGAACCUAUAUUCAUUGGCAUUUUCUGUGUGGUGGCUUCUUUGUUACUCUUCACAAUGCAAUGCUAUUAGCAGAUAUACCUUUUCAUUUCCGUCUUCCUGCACUUGCUUUGUAUGUAAUCUAAAAGAUUUUUGCUAUCUUAAGUACAAGUAUAAGAAAUGUAUGUUUGCACCAUUUUGUGGAAGUAGAAGUUCCUAGACUAACUUGCAAACAACUUAAAUAGUUAAUAUAUAAUAUACACAUUUUUACUAAGGAAAUAUGGCAGGUAACCUCCUCCACUAUACACGCAGAUGUUCACUGGCCCACACACAGAAAAUUUGGAAAGCAAGCAAAUCUCCAGCUCCCUUAAGCAAUUAUCACUGGUAAAAUUAUGUUCCCAGAACACAGUGCUCACCAUUGCCAGAAAGUAGAGCAGCAGAAUCUCAGAUGCAUGAGAGAGAAACUCAUGAGGCUGUCUCACCAUAAUCAUGCCUGUCAACUGAUGUCAACAUCCCCGAAUCUGUGAUUUGUGAAUUCAAGCUAAGCUGGGAAAAAUGUCUUGACCAACUUUGUCACUGCGUGUAUACCUAUUAGAAAACACACUGAAUGUUCUGUCUGGAUCCUUUUCUCCAGUUGCUGGAGAAUGACUCUUCAGACUGAAGCUCCUUCUUCACUCUAGGGACGUACCUGACAACUGACUUACUUGGGGACACAAAGUCCUGUUCUCUUACUGCAAGUUGUGAAAGGCCAUGAGAGUUAGAGGUACCUGCAGGACAUGAAGAAGCCUUAGUUGCGAUCAAACUAAAGAUCCUUACACAUUUCCAAGAGUGUGAAACUGAAUGUGAAUGAACCUGGUCAUGGGCAACCAGAAGCUGAGAAGAAACAGAAGUUCAAGAAAGGAUGCUGAAUAGUUUUAAGCUUUCAGAAAUGAUUUACAAAUGUAAUACCUUUGGGACAAGCAAGCAUAGAGAACAUUUUAUAAUUUGCUAAGGUUCAAGCAUCAAGUAAAUGACAUGAAGAAGUGACCCAGUGGAUGACUAUCUCAUUUGAUAACUUAUACUGUGCCUCUCAGGGAAAUUGGUCAGUAGAUACUGGGACAUUUGGGUGACAUAAUUCUACAGUUUUGAAUGAGAAAUUUGUAUCCAAAGGAAAUCAUUUUUAAACUGAUUUUAAUUGGAAUAGAAUUGCACCAUUUUCAGCUCCCUUUCUCCUCUAACAGCUCCAAGUGCCCUUUCUUUGAGUGACACUCAUGAUCCACUUCCUCAGGUCAAUAGUCUUUUUUCCUUCUCUUUCU
rnacentral:sRNA from 1 species